rnacentral:ncRNA from 16 species
GGUUAGCUCAAUUGGCAGAGCGCGUGACUCUUGAUCACGUGGUUACAAGUUCGAGUCUUGUAC